CAGUAAAUACAUUGAAAUAGCUGUUAUGCUAGCCUUGGUCUGUCCUUAAAGCAACUUUGUGGAAACACGCACUUCAAAGACUUAACCUAAUGUUCAAGUUUGUAUGGUAUUUGUGUGUGUGUGUGUGUGUGUGUGUGUGUGUGUGUGUGUUUGCAUGGUGGGCAUGAGUUAGUCAAACAGAUUUUGUAACAGCAGCAUCAGAUGGACUUUGUCUGCUAAGCGACACUUAACAAGAAGUCUGGUGGAGUGUAUUAGUACUGUAUAGCUCUCAGCAGGAAGAUGAGCCCCAUCAAGAUAUGUUCUGCUUUUGUUAUUGUAACAGUGUUGUGUGUGACCAGAUUGGUUGUGGCAGGACCAUUGGAUAUGAUAUCACGCCAAACAGCAGCCAGACAACAGGGGGGAGCUGUUCUUUUCUUUGCAUCCUACCAGGGUAUUCUCAGAGAGAUCGAGUACAACCCAAUUAUCUUUAACGAAGUGUUGGUUAACCAGGGCUCCGCCUACAGCAAUGAUACUGGUGUGUUCACUGCGCCAGUCGCUGGCAUCUACCAGUUUGUGUUUACUGCACAGCUCUGCCGCGGAAACCACAACAAUCUGUGGCACUUCAUGGUCAAGGGGGACCAGAGGAUGGUAUGCCAUGCUCAGGUGUCCGGAGGUGACACAACCCUCAACACUUGCUACCUCAUGGAUGAAUUGAAGAAAGGUGACCCGGUUUGGAUGAAGCAGAUUGUGGGGAGUUGCGCCUGGGCUAGCACCAUCUCCAAAACCAUCACCUUCUCUGGUGUCCUGCUGGCAAGUGAGGGUGUGUCCACGCUCGGAGGGAAAUAUGGCUCCGGCAGCUCCUGUCCACUGCCCAGCCUCGGCCACACUAAGAGCAUAGUGUCUGUCUCUGCAGGCCAGAGUGCUACUUUGUCUACUGUGGCCAUCGCCAUGCUGCUCUGCCUCCUCCUCUUGGAUUAAUCCUGGAAAGCUGUGUACCUGUAUUAUAUAUGUAUUAGCUUUUAUUUUUAUGCAUCUUAAACCAGCCAUGGUUGUAACAACUGGAUAGUUCUAACAGCCCCACUUUACAUGAAGAAAGGGUGACCUAAAAGACGGGAUUAAUUUGAAAUACGACCAUUUCCUUACUGGAGCAUGUGACCUGUUUCAGCAUGUGUCAGAGCUGUUUGUAAAAGCAUAAAGAUUUUAACGCCAAAACACUGAUUGUCUGGUAAGAACGUAAUUUUUUGGACCAAAUCUAUAUGUUUAAUAAAACUGAUGAUGUCCAAGUUAGAUUUAUUUAACUUGUACUGGAUUAGAAAGUAGUCUCUCUGUCACCUUGCUACAGCGAGCUAAACAAUGACUGACAGGUGGGAACCAUAAUUAUAACAAUUUCUCCAUUGUAUAGCUUUUUUCAGCAUGGCAAGAUGGUAGGGCUGCACGAUAUUGGAAAAAACUGACAUCGUAAUUUUUUUUUUAACCCUGCGAUAUAUAUUGUGAUAUGAAAAAAUACAGGAAUUUUCAUCAGAUGACCUGAAUAGCACUUUAUGCUUUGCUGCACUGCUGCUAUCUUGUGGACAAUUAACCUGCACUGAUCUUACCUGUUUUUGUCAUACUGAGCUGCGUGGUACCGACGUAAAUGUGUUACCUCUCAUUGUGGCAACAGAUGCAAGGCACUGUCGACACAGAACACGUGUUUGGUCAAUAUCAUCCUUCUUGUAACUGAAAUAAUUCCAGAUAACUGAUGUUGCUUUCCUUUUUGGCACCAAGUCUUCGUUUUCUGUGAUUUUCUCUUGCUAUUGCUCAUUUUUCAGUGUUGUUACCAGCGACUCACUCCAUGUGCAGUGUGUGUCAGGUACCCUUGAAAUUAGACGAGUUCAUUUUCCUCCUUCCUACAUCGCAGGCCCUGCUUUGUGACUACUGCGCACACGUACAUUGCAAUGAAGAUUCUCAAACGAUAUAUCGUGCAGCCCUACAAGACGGUAAGUAAAAAAAACAAACACUCGCUCACUAGAGGUGCACGUGCACAAGUAUUACAAUUUGCAUCAGAUGAGGCACAAAAUGACAGUGGUCUGUCACCAAAGAAUACUGUACGAUGUGACCCUGAGCAGGUACCACCUCAGAGAACAAGGAUCAAGACAGCAGUAAAAUAGUCUUCAAUGCUCAGCAAGAGGAUGUCUUGGUUGAGCCCACUUCAAAUAUGAAUUGCGGACAAUAUGUAGAGAAUCAGAUCAGGAUAUUGUCCAAAUUUGGUUGUUCACACAUGCAGCACACAAUAGAAGACUGUUCGUGUUAGAUGUGUCCACACAUGGUACAUAUACAUGUAUUUGGACCUAUCUGCAAUAUCACAAAAGAGUGGAAAGUAAUAUGCAGGCAAGAACAGAAGAGAAGGAAUCAGCUUUUCCGUUCAUGUAUAUUCUGGUGUAGAAAGCGAAGCUGCAGCAUUUUGGAUCUGUGUCCAGCAGCAGCAUGAAUAGGCCAUAGAGAAGCGUGAGAGACCGAGCUGGGAAAUAAAGUUAAACUUGCUUAAUGAUGGCAG
ensembl:lncRNA